CUACCUUGCUAUGACUUUUGAGAUGUUACUCAGAUGGGUUAGUCGAAACUAAUUAAACCUAAAUAAAGCAGUUAAAUACCUAGUUAAAUUUUUAUUAAAAUUUAAAGAAUAACUACACCAACUAUUCAAAUAAAUGAAUAAUCAAAUCAAAUUUCUUUUCAGUUAUUAUUUUAACCUCUGAUUUUCUUACUUUUUAAGGUAAGAUUUUUUAAGGUUAAGCAGAUUUAUUUAGUAUAUUUAAAAUUAAAGUUAAAUAUAAAAAAUAGAAUACUCCUUACUACUAAGCCCUACCACCAUAAGUAAGGUAGGCAAAAAAGUAGUAAAUAAGUAAAUAAAUAGAAAGAGAAAUAUAGAUAAUAAACCAAUAUUUUAUUAUUUAUAAUGUUUUACUUUAUUUAAAGAUAGACUUCGCGGCGCUUUCCCCCAAGCUGAAUUUCUCCCCAGCGACAGACGGUU
rnacentral:rRNA from 1 species